UGGAAUUUUCAAGCACUGCAUUGUAUUUUUGAACAUCAUGCAUUUUUUGGUCAAAAUUCUCUACCGUCAUCAAACUUCCGUCAAAUGUGAUGUUCACAAAGAUCAUAUUGUACUCACAGUGUAUUUGCAUGCAACUAGGGACCCCCUAUUGUUCUCUUUUGUUUUUAACUUUUUUAGAAGACCAACCAUAUGUUUAUACACAGUUGUCAAUCGGGAACCCUAUGUGAAUCAGGGACCUUACUGUCCCCAAUUGAAUGCAAGUCCCCAAUUGAAUGCAAAAACAAGCUCACACACGCACACCCAGACUUUGAACUGGUCUGUGGAGGUUAAGUAUGUGUGGAGGAGCCCUCAAGCAUUUGUGUGCUGCAUCCAGGUGCAACAGCAAAUGUCACUGUACUGUGUUAUCUCAGAGUGCAAAAAGAGCAAUGAUCAAUGAUUGUUGUAUUUCUUAUGCUGACAUGUUAGGACACGGACUGUCCUGGUUUUAUCACAUACAUGUAGUCAUAUGGCUUAUACAUGUAGUUCAGAUUCAGCAAUGGGAACAUGUCACAUGUAAUUUUUGUGAGAGGUCAACGAAAGGUUGCAAGACUUCACUUUGCCCGGCCUACAUGCAUUUCUCACUGUUGUGCCCAAAACUGCCCUGAAAUCGGUCCCCUUUUAGUUGCGCGGUAUUAUAUUAACGCUUGCGAAUAGUGACCUCAAUAAUUAUAUCGGAAUGAAGCUUUGGACUUCCCCUUUCAGAUACAUUAAAGAAAGAGGACUGUUGCUGUAGAAAAAAAUGAUGUCAUGACCUUUCAAAGGUCAGACACCGACUAGCUUCUUCAAAAGUUCAUGCAUGCACAUGUAUAGUUGUAUACAUGUGUGAAAGAGUGUGUACAGUACAUGUCGCUGUCUGCAUCAUGGCGACUUUGCAGCUGUCAUCGGAGCCCAUGGGAAGACUAACUUUGCAAGAAGUUCUGCAGGAAAAUGAUGCCAGUGGUUCUGAAAUGGAAGCUUGAGAUGAUCUUCGAAGUGACAUUGACGUUUUACAGGUACCAUAGUUACAGCGAUGUUUAGAUCAUAUUCUUGCAAACUAAAUGUCUCAAAGUAAAUCCAAAACGAUAGUGAAAAACAUGUUUGCAAUGGUGCUUUCAAAAUGUUUGAUCAUCACUAACAGCAUUAAUACAGAUGAUUAGGACUUCUGAUCUCUUGAUUAGGUUGAAUUGUUGUAAACUUGACUUGAAUGAAUGCUGUAUAGUUUAGUUGUGGCUGUGUUUUUGUUGUGUUCAUUUCAUUUUGUUUUCAUGUUGGAUUUUCUUAGAUUUUUUUGAACAGCCCAUUUUGAUUUGGCCCAACAUGCCCAGUCUUUAGGGGAUGGGAGGCAAAAUGGAAUUGGAAAACUUUUCUUGCAACAGAAUGCCAUCUCCCCAAAAGAAUGCAGUUUUCUUUUUCUUGAAUACUUAUACAUGUACUUACAAUUCCUUUCACUUCAUCUCAAAUUAGCAACAUUGGCUUCCCUUCAGUUAUCGCUGAAUAUGCUGCUGUGCUGGCUUUAUCAAUGUUUUGGGUGACACCUGCCAGACACUUUUCGAAAUAACUGUGUUCUUCAAUUCUAACAGAUUUCCCCCAACCUACUUAAUCAGAGUUUCAGUUGAGAGAUUACUUGUCAUGUACUUGUAACUAAAUUUUUUAUGUGUAUUUUGGAGAAACAAGAACAUGCUGCUUAGGAAAAAAAAUAUGCAUUGCAAAGUCUUCGAUACCGGAACAUAAACUGUUCAUGCAUGUAACCAUAUAGACUCAUGGUGUAACAUGAACUGAAAUAUCUACACUGAUGCUGGAACAAGUUUUGACAGGUACAAAGUUUUUUAUUACAUGGAUCUUCUUUGAAAAUAUGACAGGGUUCCGUGCAAAUGAUAGGUAACACACGAAAGUGUAAACAUGGUAUCCUAUCAUCUCGGUAUGCUUUAUGAGGUUUCAAUUACUUUCUUUAUUGCUAGAACUUCAGAGGGAUUAGUGUUAAUUCUUUUGUAGGCAUAUGCUUACUCAAAAACACAAUGUUACAAAAUUUCUGUUUUUUUAAUAACAUUCAAGAUUUUGCUAUGGUUUACUGUUUGGGUGUUUUGUUCGGGUAAUUUCUCGUAUCCACAAAAGGUCUUUAUUUGUAAAUACAUGUAAAUACAGACGAACAGAAAAAAUGUGACAGUUCUUGGGUAUGAAAAAGAAAUUAGUAUGUUUGUUAUGUGCAGGCCUACCUAGAAAUAGUUUUUAUUGAAACCACUGACAGCAUUGUAGGCAGAUCAGGCAAGAUCUUAUUUUCCUUAUUGUUUCACAAACUCUUAAGUUCAGUAUAGUUUUGAACAGGGCUUAUGACCAGUUGUGGCUGUUGUAAAAUGAGAGUACACAUUCCUUGAAUUUAUUAUUCUUUAGGCCUGUCUGAAAAUCAUGUCAUUAAACAUGUUCAAACCAGAACACAUAUAGUAUGACGUACACGUGCAGUGUGUGAAAAUUUUAGUGCCUUUUCCAAGUAGUCCCCUAAAAGUUUUGGGAAAGGACCAAUAGUUAUCAUAUUAAUAUUGAUGCAGAUACUUCAAGAGCUUGAAGAGGAGUAUGGUGCUAAGGAUGCUGCUGAAUCUCUCUAAAGUGCUCCACAUCCUGCGGUUGAUGAUGUAUUCAAGCAGUCUAGAGACGGCGUCCCUUGAAGAUUCAAUGUGAAAUCAUAAAACACCUAAAAAAAAUGGGUGUUGCCCACAAGCGACACAAAUGAUGAUCCACCUGUGGCAGAGGAACAUCCGCCUUGUGAUAACGAGGACCAGUAUUGUAGCAGUGACAGCUACCAGGUGUCCAGUGCUCCAUUCUCGGGUUCAGACAACUGUUAGUUUGCAGAUUUUGGAACUGAGAUUCUCUGAUGAAGAGCCAAAAGAGGAUGUGGGAGUUCUGGAUGAGAAGAAGUACCUCAUUUUUCACUCUUGCCUUCUGCAGCUCUUCAAAACAUGCCCCUGAUGUUCAGGCCCCUCAAAGAAGAAAGUAACCCGUCCACUCGGAGGGAUGGCGAUCCAAGUUGUUCAGACGUGUACAGACAAGGCAUGCAGUCAUGUCCACUGUUGCAGAAGCCAGCCAGUGGUGGGCAGUGUGGCCGCUGGGAGCAUUCUGAUUUCAGCCGCCAUUCUGAUGUCUGGUGUCAACAUCAGGAAAUUCAUCAAUGCUCUUGCUUUCAUCAAUGUGGCGAUGAUACCCUACAGCACAUUUUUUAUUCAUCAGCAAAGAUAUCUCCAGCCUGCCAUCAUAGAUGUAUGGUAUGAGCAGCAAGCCUUGAUAUUGUCUGAUUUUGAAAACAGUGGUGUUGGUGCAGAUAUGCGUGCGGACUCCAUGGGUCAUUCAGCUAAAUUUGGCUUCUACAUUAUUUUGGAGUUGAGCCAGGGUAAAGUUCUCCACUUUGAGCACAUGCAGAUCUAUAGAAGAAGUUAAAUAAUAGGCCUACUGGAAAUGCAUCUGGAUGUGGAGAAAUCAGGACUGGAUCCAGGGGAUUACCAACAAUGUCUACUGGUUCACGGCUUCCACCCCUGAUGGAGGUGGUGAUUUGAUGCUGGCCAAAUUCUCCAGUGCAGUCAAUCCUGUGAUGAAUGCCCAUCAUCAUGACAGCCAGCUCUUCCCACAGUGUGCGCACGGAGAACUUCCAGAAUGAAAGUGGAUAAAGCCAGGAUCUACCUAGCUGCCUUGCAUUUAAUGAGAACACUAAGAAAGCAAGCAGUGGACAAGCUAGGCAAUCCAGCCUGUAGCAUCUACUACCCAAGGGCAAAGCAGCCUACUGUAAGGUACAGCAUGAGACAGGUGGUGAUGUGGAGCUCCUAGAAUUUCACCAAGUUCAUAAUUGGCAAGGUUUUGGAUCUUUGUAAACAUGGCCAGGAUAUGAGGAACAACUACCCUGAGCUCAAGGCAAACCCUGUUCCCCUAACAGUGAGAGUAAAAUGCCCAAACAAAGAGGAAGCAGUGACUUCUUUCAUUUCUCACUUUGGUAAGCGUGGAGCUGGUAGGGCGAUGCGAAGGCUGCGAGGAUGUUGUAGUGUCGGCAAAACUUCCAAAGAAAGCCAAGGAAUCCAAGAAGGACAAAGGACAAAAGAAAGGCGAGGACGAAGCCCAUAAGGACAAAAUGCACAAGAAGAAAUCAAAGAAGAAAACAAGGGUUUCUGAAGAGGGAGAAUGCUUGUCUGCUUCAAAAUACAGCCAGACAUAAGACAUGGAAAUGUGGAAACAAACUUCAGUCUCUUAUGCAAUCAAGUGUAUUUUCCAGUUUACUUGAAACAAAUCUUGCAAGAGAAACUUCACCAAACGUACAUGUCAAUUUUUAAAGGAAAGCAUGCUCCGUAUCAAGCUUUAUCAUUACGCUGAUCACUCUUGGCAAUUUUGCACAUGUACAUGUGUGUACAUGUAUUUUUCAACAUUCACAUGAUCUGAAGAUGGAGUUAAUGGGGCCUUGCUUAGAGCUUAUGCAGAACUAAUUUUUGCAAAAUGGGCAAAAAUAUGGUGUACCCUUUAUGAACCUGAAUACAGUAAACAGUUGCUGUACACGCAUGUUUUUCAUUCAAUCUUUCCCAAAAUUAACCCUGCAAGUCCGAAGGAAUUUUAGUGGAAAAUGGCACCCUCAAAAAACUGACCAGCAAAUAAUCAAGAAAAAUUAAUCAUAAAGUUAAACAUAUGUAUUUAAAAGAUGACAUCCAUAUCUGGAUAUUUGAAUCCCUCGUAAUUAUCCUCUGGGUCUGGAAAAGUCGUUCUUGUCAUAAGCAUGAUGCAUAAUGGCAGGGGAACUCAGUUGUACCAUCCAAGAAAUCCCCAGCACCACCAGAUGACUUGUCUGUAAGAUGUGUGUUGGUACUUCCUA